rnacentral:rRNA from 1 species
GACGAACGCUGGCGGCGUGCUUAACACAUGCAAGUCGAGCGAUGAAGCUUCCUUCGGGAAGUGGAUUAGCGGCGGACGGGUGAGUAACACGUGGGUAACCUGCCUCAAAGAGGGGGAUAGCCUUCCGAAAGGAAGAUUAAUACCGCAUAACAACAUUUCACUGCAUGUUGAAAUGAUAAAAGGAUUAAUCCGCUUGGAGAUGGACCCGCGGCGCAUUAGCUAGUUGGUGGGGUAACGGCUCACCAAGCCGACGAUGCGCAGCCGACCUGAGAGGGUGAUCGGCCACAUUGGGACUGAGACACGGCCCAGACUCCUACGGGAGGCAGCAGUGGGGAAUAUUGCGCAAUGGGGGAAACCCUGACGCAGCAACGCCGCGUGAGUGAUGACGGUCUUCGGAUUGUAAAGCUCUGUUUUCAGGGACGAUAAUGACGGUACCUGAGGAGGAAGCCACGGCUAACUACGUGCCAGCCGCCGCCGUAAGAC